UCGAUUUUACUAUUCAGAAUCGUUUGUUUAGUUCAUCGAGUCAGUAUUGUGAGAGCGAUGAAAACUGUACAACUAGAAUGGGGAGUAAAACAGCUAUUUUAUUAUUGAAAUUUAGAAAGAUUCUUUUUUCUUACUGAUGAUAGUACAUUUAAUGUAUUGAAGUAGUUGUGAUCUGACUAGU
rnacentral:snoRNA from 1 species